rnacentral:rRNA from 1 species
CCUACGGGGGGCUGCAGUGGGGAAUCUUGCACAAUGGGCGCAAGCCUGAUGCAGCCAUGCCGCGUGUAUGAAGAAGGCCUUCGGGUUGUAAAGUACUUUCAGUCGUGAGGAAGGUGUUAAGGUUAAUAACCUUAGCAAUUGACGUUAGCGACAGAAGAAGCACCGGCUAACUCCGUGCCAGCAGCCGCGGUAAUACGGAGGGUGCGAGCGUUAAUCGGAAUUACUGGGCGUAAAGGGCACGCAGGCGGUUAAUUAAGUUGAAUGUGAAAUCCCCGGGCUUAACCAGGGGAUGGCAUUCAAGACUGGUUAGCUAGAGUCUUGUAGAGGGGGGUAGAAUUCCAUGUGUGGUGGUGAAAUGCGUAGGGAUGUGAAGGAAUUCCGGUGGCGAAGGCGGCCACCUGGACAGAGACUGAGGUGCACGUGCUAGAGCGUGGGAAGCAAACAGAAUUAGUUACCGAGGUAGUC